GAGGCGCGGGUUUUAGCCAAUAGGACUUGAAAAGAGCGGUACUGACGCACCGGUGGCGGACCUAGAAAGCGGGACGCUUGAACUUUAUUCUGACACUGGGCGCCGAGUUUGACUGCUGCGUAGACUUUCUGUCCUCAGGGAAGCUUGACGUCCGAAAUGAGAGGAAAGAGAUGACAACGAAGGACUUCAGUAGGGCGCUGAAGGGAGACCAUUAGCUGUGGUUUGAGAAACGGAGUCGUUCUUUUCAUUUGUAACCACUCAGAAAGUAAAAACUCGGGGAGAAAGUGGACCUUAAAGCCAGUUAUGACAUUAACAGGAAAUACUGUUUGUUUUUAGGACAGCCGAACUGAGAAGUGUCAUAAUGUUCUUUGAGUGGGUGCUGCCUUUCCACACACUGAGAAAUCUUGCCCGUUAAAAUCCAGAUACUAUUUGAAAUUCUAUCAGUAAUAAUGAAAGAAACAUCCCAUUUUUUUUUUUUUUUUUUGCCUUCAGGACUAAAUUGCUUUGACACAGAAGCAGCCUCACAGGAUCAUCACAAAAGUGACACUGUUGGAGCUGGGAGCUAUGACACACACCUGUAAUCCCAGAGACUGGGGAGGCUGAGGCAGAAGGAUCACAAGUUCAAGGUUAUCCUCUGAAUCUUGCCACUGACUUUUCAUCCCUGAAAAUGCCAGCAUAUGUAAGGACUUUGCUGGGAUUGAAGACCUCAAAUAAUACCAAUUGUGGAUAAAGCUAAAACAAAGGUGAGCACAAUGGCUUUUUGAAAGUGGAGAGGUGGACAAAGCCAAAAUUAAGAUAGUCUUAAGUGGAGUGUUGUGUGGGACGAUGAGAGCCUAAGGCUGAGGCUUGCAGAACUUGGUAAUCAGUUUGAUGAGGGGUAUUGUUGGCAUUCAGGAGAUUAGUGUUAUAGGAAGGAAAAUUUUAGUUUCAAGAUGGCAGAGUAAAAAUACUUCUUUCCUAUACUCCUGAAAAUCAUCGAAAGAAAACAAUUCAAAACAUCAUCUUUGAUUAUAGUAGGAGAUAACCAUAAUCUCAAACCACAAUGUAUGAAGACUGAAUGUACAUGGAAGAAGAGUGGAUAGUAGAUUACUUAGAAGUGAGGAAAAAGGUCAAAUUAAAAUUCUGCAAGGUGGACACUGAAGUCCCCAGAGAAGACUGAAAAGCCUCAGGAAUUAAGAGCCACUGUGGAUGCCAGAGAAGGAUGGAUUUUUUGAAAAUCUAUAUAUGGUGUGGUUAGAAUUUGGUUACAAAACUCAUCUUGUAAGGCAAUUGUCUCUGACAGAAGAUAAAUUUUAUUAAUAAAUAAAUAAAAGGUACAAGAGAGGUUUCAGAUUUCAGGAUAUCAAGUAGAAAGGGUUUAGGGCUUAUUGAAUGUGAGUUGGAAUUCCUUUUGUCUGAGCUCCACAAAUUCUAGGCUUAAAUCUUCCAGAUUUGUACCCCACCAACCAAGGGGAAGGAGAUUAUUUUAUGGAGUAUUUAACACCUCCCCCCCCAAAAUCCUAUGGGUUUGUUAUGGAUUCCCAACAAAAAUAGUUGGUCAUUUCCUCAUCAUAUAUGUUUAUUUUUCUUUUUUAGGUACUGGGAAUUGAACCCAGGCUUGCUAACUAAGCACAUGAUCUACCACAGAGCUACACGCCCAGGCCAAGAUAGUCACAGAUUUUUUUCCCCCAGUGCUUGGAAUCAAAUCCAGGGCCCUGUGCAUAUUAGGCAAGUGCUCUACCACUGAGCCACACCCCAGCCCUUCACUGAUUAUCGUACUCACCCUUGUACACAAAAAUUACCAUCAAUUUUAAAUGUCUGUUUUAAAUAUAAAUGCAGUCAGAGAACACAUAUUUGCAAAUAUGCAGAAAACAAAUCAGAGGAAAUAAACACUCCAAGAACAUAAAAAAAACUAAAGUAUCCUCAAAGUACAACAUGAAACAAGAACAACAUGCUCUAUACAGGAGCAAUACAAAAGAAAGUGCUCUUGGGAUACACAAUAGAAUAUUAUUCAGCCUUAAAGAAUAAUGAAAUCAUGGCAUUUGCAGGUAAAUGGAUGGAGCUGGAGAAUAUUAUGCUAAGCAAAAUAAGAAAAUCCCACAGAACCAA